GAACUCUGGAGAAUCUCGUAUAAGCGAGUACCGAAGGUGCAAGGCUUUUAACAGGCAACCUUAUGUAGUUUCUUGUUACAGCUGAAUCUCUCAGGUAAAAGGACAGAGGGA
rnacentral:ncRNA from 1 species